rnacentral:rRNA from 1 species
ACCAGACUCCUACGGGAGGCAGCAGUGGGGGAUAUUGCACAAUGGGGGGAACCCUGAUGCAGCGACGCCGCGUGGGUGAAGGAGCGUUUCGGCGCGUAAAGCCCUAUCGGCAGGGAAGAAGGAGGACGGUACCUGACUAAAAAGCCCCGGCUAACUACGUGCCAGCAGCCGCGGUAAUACGUAGGGGGCAAGCGUUAUCCGGGUUUACUGGGUGUAAAGGGAGCGUAGACGGCCAAGCAAGCCAGGGGUGAAAGCCCGGGGCCCAACCCCGGGACUGCCCUUGGAACUGCAUGGCUGGAGUGCGGGAGGGGCAGGCGGAAUUCCUGGUGUAGCGGUGAAAUGCGUAGAUAUCAGGAGGAACACCGGUGGCGAAGGCGGCCUGCUGGACUGCGACUGACGUUGAGGCCCGAAAGCGUGGGGAGCAAUCAGGAUUAGAUACCCCGGUAAAC